GGUAACAAGGAAGUCGGUAAACAAAUUUACACAAAAGAUGGUCAAAUUCAUUUGUUUCAAUAUAACAAUUAUGUUGACGUACCCGUUCCACCCAAUACGGAGGUCACCUAUGUUUCAGUGAGAGUAAAUGCCAUCAAUCCCCCGAAAGUGGAUUUCGACAACGAGAGCAAAACCCUGAGUAUAAAGUACUCAUUCUUGGAACUGCCUAUUAGUUCAUACUCGCUUUUCGUCAAAGGAACACCUACUGCUGGAUGAAUACAAAUUAAAUGCAUACGAUCAUUGUCUUCA